CUUCCGUAGGGUGAACCUGCGGAAGGAUCAUUACCUAGAGUUGUAGGCUUUGCCUGCUAUCUCUUACCCAUGUCUUUUAAGUACCUUCGUUUCCUCGGCGGGCUCGCCCGCCGAUUGGACAAUUUAAACCAUUUGCAGUUGCAAUCAGCGUCUGAAAAAACUUAAUAGUUACAACUUUCAACAACGGAUCUCUUGGUUCUGGCAUCGAUGAAGAACGCAGCGAAAUGCGAUAAGUAGUGUGAAUUGCAGAAUUCAGUGAAUCAUCGAAUCUUUGAACGCACAUUGCGCCCCUUGGUAUUCCAUGGGGCAUGCCUGUUCGAGCGUCAUUUGUACCUUCAAGCUCUGCUUGGUGUUGGGUGUUUGUCUCGCCUCUGCGUGUAGACUCGCCUCAAAACAAUUGGCAGCCGGCGUAUUGAUUUCGGAGCGCAGUACAUCUCGCGCUUUGCACUCAUAACGACGACGUCCAAAAGUACAUUUUUACACUCUUGACCUCGGAUCAGGUAGGGAUACCCGCUGAACUUAAGCAUAUCAAUAAGCGGAGGAA
rnacentral:rRNA from 1 species